GCCCCAGUAGCUUAGACCGGUUAGUUAGGUGGAUUCGCCCACCCAUACCCUCAAAGAUCGCCUCCUUGGUAAGGAGGAGGCCGCGAGUUCAAAUCUCGCCUGGGGCUCCA
rnacentral:tRNA from 1 species